rnacentral:tRNA from 1 species
GAAAUAAAUUUAAGGAAACUUCUAACUUCCAAAAUUAGCAGUAAAACUGUUAUUAUUUCU